CGCUCCAGGAUUGGUCGAUGGAAAAGCCGGCUGCCUGCCAGUUGGUCCGCACUGCCGGGGUACACAUGGCAUGCUGUGUAUAGAAGUCAGAAGACAGUUUGUGGGAGUCAGCUCCCAUAUAGGUUUCAGGGACUAAACUCAGCCAGGUAUGCAUCAGUGGAAAAUGACUGUAUUAGUAGAAGAAAGAAGAGACCAGGAGUUGAACCUCAUCCUCGCC